rnacentral:rRNA from 1 species
ACACGACUACAUUAGAUACCCCGGUAGUCCUAGCCGUAAACGAUACUCGCUAGGUGUCGGCCACGGUGCGACCGUUGUCGGUGCCGUAGGGAAGCCGUGAAGCGAGCCACCUGGGAAGUACGGCCGCAGGGCUGAAACUUAAAGGAAUUGGCGGGGGAGCACAACAACGGGUGGAGCUUGCGGUUUAAUUGGAUUCAACGCCGGAAAUCUUACCGGGACCGACAGCAACAUGAAGGCCAAGCUGAAGACUUUGCCGGAUUAGCUG